UGCUAUCUGACAGGGAUAGGAUCUUCUGACAGACAGGGAAGUGAGUGUUCCUACAGAUGAUUAAAGAAAGAAAAAUUCAUUAUCAGCAACACCCUGAAACUCCAAAACAGGAAAAGCAGUCCAGCCAAUCACUGCCCAGCCUAUGGAGGUCACUCCCUGGAUAUCUGGUUUACACAACCUGGAACUACAGCUUAAUAAGGCACGCCCAAAAUAAAUCUCCCUGUUUGGAUUUCUAAAACCACACAAACAUUAACAAGAUUAAACAGCAGCAUAGCUGGGACACCAGCCUACAGUGGCAAAGGCAGCACAAGACUCCAACCAAACUAUCAGUGCAUUUUACUUCUUAGCCUCACAAAGAGCUGUGUACUACCACACAGACAUCCCUGAGACAGUAUUGAUACCAAGAGAAGGCAUACUGAAUCUUAGUUUCCAUGACAGCAGACAUCCAUAAACGACUCAACUCUGCAACUCAGAGAAGUGGCGACAGCUUCAGAGCACGGCCAGGUACCAAGAACCUUCCUACUCCUGCCCCACAGCCAUGUCCAGGAAAACCUGUGCCUAAACCUGUGCUCACCAAGCCAAAUCACUACCAACAGGUCCCUCAACAGGUCCCCCGGCUGCUGAAUGGACAAAGAUUAACAAUAUGUUUGCCAUUACAAGUGUCUCUGAUAUUCC